rnacentral:rRNA from 1 species
CAGUCGCCGCGGUAAUACGUAGGGUGCGAGCGUUAACCGGAAUUACUGGGCGUAAAGCGUGCGCAGGCGGUUUUGUAAGACAGGCGUGAAAUCCCCGGGCUCAACCUGGGAAUGGCGCUUGUGACUGCAAAGCUAGAGUGCGGCAGAGGGGGAUGGAAUUCCGCGUGUAGCAGUGAAAUGCGUAGAUAUGCGGAGGAACACCGAUGGCGAAGGCAAUCCCCUGGGUCUGCACUGACGCUCAUGCACGAAAGCGUGGGGAGCAAACAGGAUUAGAUACCCCCGUAGUCCCUGUCUCUUAUAC